GUGCUCACUUAGGCAGCAUGUAUACUUAAGGAACGAUACAGAGAAGAUUAUCAUGGCACCUACAUUAUAUGCAAAUUUGUGAAGCAUUCCAUAUUUUU
ensembl:snRNA U6 U6 spliceosomal RNA